rnacentral:rRNA from 1 species
GGUUCUGGACAAUGGAUAUCUCCAAGCUCUUGUUAUGAUGAAGAAUAUAGUGCAAUGUAAUACUUAGUGUGAAUCAUAUAAUUUCAUGAAUCAUCGAGUUUUUUAAUGCAAUUUUUUGGUGUGGCUUAGGCAGGGUGU